GCGAGCGUAGUUCAAUGGU
rnacentral:tRNA from 1 species